GUGCUUGCUUCAGCAGCACAUAUCCUAAAGUUGGAAGGAUGCAGAGGAGAUUGACAUGGUCCCAGUACAAGAAUGACAAAAAAAAAAAAUUGUAGCAUUCCAGAGUUUC